CUUGCUUCCUGGUGGCGAGCGGCGGACGGGUGAGUAAUGCAUAGAAAUCUGCCCGGUAGUGGGGGAUAACCUGGGGAAACCCAGGCUAAUACCGCAUACGUCCUACGGGAGAAAGCAGGGGCUCUUCGGACCUUGCGCUAUCGGAUGAGUCUAUGUCGGAUUAGCUUGUUGGUGAGGUAAUGGCUCACCAAGGCGACGAUCCGUAGCUGGUCUGAGAGGAUGAUCAGCCACAUCGGGACUGAGACACGGCCCGAACUCCUACGGGAGGCAGCAGUGGGGAAUAUUGGACAAUGGGCGAAAGCCUGAUCCAGCCAUGCCGCGUGUGUGAAGAAGGCCUUCGGGUUGUAAAGCACUUUCAGUGGGGAAGAAAGCCUUGGGGCUAAUACCCUCGAGGAAGGACAUCACCCACAGAAGAAGCACCGGCUAACUCCGUGCCAGCAGCCGCGGUAAUACGGAGGGUGCGAGCGUUAAUCGGAAUUACUGGGCGUAAAGCGCGCGUAGGCGGUCUGAUAAGCCGGUUGUGAAAGCCCCGGGCUCAACCUGGGAACGGCAUCCGGAACUGUCAGGCUAGAGUGCAGGAGAGGAAGGUAGAAUUCCCGGUGUAGCGGUGAAAUGCGUAGAGAUCGGGAGGAAUACCAGUGGCGAAGGCGGCCUUCUGGACUGACACUGACGCUGAGGUGCGAAAGCGUGGGUAGCAAACAGGAUUAGAUACCCUGGUAGUCCACGCCGUAAACGAUGUCGACUAGCCGUUGGGCUCCUUGAGAGCUUUGUGGCGCAGUUAACGCGAUAAGUCGACCGCC
rnacentral:rRNA from 1 species